GGUUUAGCAAACAUUUGACUGACUCUGUACUAUACUGGUAACUCAUUAACAAGCACAGGGAAAGAGAGCAAACUAGUCACCAAGCACAACACCCUUUGCUGGAAUAGAGCUAACACUCAGCUGAAUAGAGAUGGACUGGAGCAGCUGCACUACCAUGGGUUUAGUGUUCAUCCUGACGUUUUUGUUCAUUAUGAAAAUUGGAGGUGUCUGGAGUAACCACCGGAGAAAGAACUUUCCACCAGGACCAAGGGCAUUACCCAUCAUUGGAAACCUUCAUCUGUUUGAUUUGAAGAGACCCUACAGGACUUACUUACAGGUAGUCA